GACGUAGGGGUCGAGCGUUGUCCGGAAUUACUGGGCGUAAAGAGUUCGUAGGCGGUUUGUCGCGUCGUUUGUGAAAACCAGCAGCUCAACUGCUGGCUUGCAGGCGAUACGGGCAGACUUGAGUACUGCAGGGGAGACUGGAAUUCCUGGUGUAGCGGUGAAAUGCGCAGAUAUCGGGAGGAACACCAGUGGCGAAGGCGGCGAUCUGGGCAGAUACUGACGCUGAGGUGCGAAAGCGUGGGGAGCAAACAGG
rnacentral:rRNA from 1 species